AUACAUGCAAGUCGUGCGCACUCCCGUUAAUGAUUUCAAUGCUUUGCAUUGAAUGAUUUAACAUUCGAGUGAGCGGCGGAUGGGUGAGUAACACGUGGGUAACCUGCCCUUGAGUUUGGGAUAGCAUUUGGAAACGAAUGAUAAUACCGGAUAACAACUGAAACCACAUGGUUUCAGUUUGAAAGGCGCGUUUGCGUCGCUCUUGGAUGGACCCGCGGUCCAUUAGUUAGUUGGUAAGAUAAUGGCCUACCAAGACGAUGAUGGAUAGCCGAACUGAGAGGUUAAUCGGCCACAUUGGAACUGGGACACGGUCCAGACUCCUACGGGAGGCAGCAGUAGGGAAUCUUGCACAAUGGGCGAAAGCCUGAUGAAGCAACGCCGCGUGAAUGAAGAAGGUCUUCGGAUCGUAAAACUCUGUUGUAAGAGAAGAACACCAGGAAGAGUGGAAAGCUUCCUGGCUGACGGUAUCUUACCAGAAAGCCACGGCUAACUACGUGC
rnacentral:rRNA from 1 species